rnacentral:rRNA from 1 species
CCUACGGGUGGCAGCAGUGAGGAAUAUUGGUCAAUGGACGAGAGUCUGAACCAGCGAAGUAGCGUGAAGGAUGACUGCCCUACGGGUUGUAAACUUCUUUUAUAAAGGAAUAAAGUGAGGCACGUGUGCCUUUUUGUAUGUACUUUAUGAUUAAGGAUCGGCUAACUCCGUGCCAGCAGCCGCGGUAAUAAGGAGGAUCCGAGCGUUAUCCGGAUUUAUUGGGUUUAAAGGAGGCGUAGCGGGGUUGGUAAGUCAGUUGUGAAAGUUUGGGGCUCAACCGUAAAAUUGCAAUUGAUACUGGCAGUCUAGAGUACAGUUGAGGUAGGCGGAAUUCGUGGUGUAGCGGUGAAAUGCUUAGAUAUCACGAAGAACUCCGAUUGCGAAGGCAGCUUACUAAACUGCCACUGACACUGAUGCUCGAAAGUGUGGGUAUCAAACAGGAUUAGAUACCCUUGUAGUC